rnacentral:rRNA from 1 species
AGAGUUUGAUCAUGGCUCAGGACGAACGCUGGCGGCGUGCUUAACACAUGCAAGUCGAGCGGAAAGGCCCUUCGGGGUACUCGAGCGGCGAACGGGUGAGUAACACGUGAGUAACCUGCCCCUAGCUCUGGGAUAGCUCCGGGAAACCGGGAUUAAUACCAGAUACAACCACUUUAGACAUCUGUUGUGGUGGAAAGAAUUUUGGCUAGGGAUGGACUCGCGGCCUAUCAGCUUGUUGGUGAGGUAACGGCCCACCAAGGCGACGACGGGUAGCCGGCCUGAGAGGGCGACCGGCCACACUGGGACUGAGACACGGCCCAGACUCCUACGGGAGGCAGCAGUGGGGAAUAUUGCGCAAUGGGCGAAAGCCUGACGCAGCGACGCCGCGUGGGGGAUGAAGGCCUUCGGGUUGUAAACCCCUUUCAGCAGGGACGAAGCGAAAGUGACGGUACCUGCAGAAGAAGCGCCGGCUAACUACGUGCCAGCAGCCGCGGUAACACGUAGGGCGCAAGCGUUGUCCGGAAUUAUUGGGCGUAAAGAGCUCGUAGGCGGUCUGUUGCGUCCGCUGUGAAAACUCGGGGCUUAACCCCGAGCUUGCAGUGGAUACGGGCAGACUAGAGGUAGGUAGGGGAGAAUGGAAUUCCCGGUGUAGCGGUGAAAUGCGCAGAUAUCGGGAGGAACACCGGUGGCGAAGGCGGUUCUCUGGGCCUUACCUGACGCUGAGGAGCGAAAGCGUGGGGAGCAAACAGGAUUAGAUACCCCCGUAGUCC